GGACAGGUGACCGGGGAUCCAGCUGUGCAGUGAGCCAGGAUCUGUUUGACUCCAGUGCACUCCUGCCAGUCCCAACAGCUGCAGCUGAUGCUAUUGUGGCGUGGAGGGUCUCCCUCUCCACACCUGCCAAGCUUCUAACCCAGAUGAGUGGGAGAAAGGAGUAAGGAGAAAGGGAGAAAGUUCCAGGAGAUCGUGCAAACCUGUGCUGGAACAGAGAAUGAGACCAGGGCCUGGAGGAUCACCCUUGCAGCCAGCCUGGAGAAAGAAAGGGGAAUGCACAAGGACGUAGCGGGGCUUCUCAGGCUGCAAACAGAUGCUGAAGACUCUGGUAGACAGGCAGGUCCAAGAAUCCCAUGCUCACGUCCCUCUGCAACCCAUGGAGAACUCAAAUGUUGUGACCCCCCCUCCCAGCAUUUCAUGUGUCAUGAGCAAUUGCUGCACUAUCACUUCCUGCCCCCAGGGAACAUGAAAGACAAUCAGAGCUGUCCAUGCACUGACUUGUGGAAGCCGGGUUGGUGUAUGUGCAUCUGAAAUAGAAAUGACUGCUCUUUCCCCUUCAUAAGUUCAGUUUUCUUAAUAAACUAAGUUCUAAAUGUUUUAUCAUUUGCCUUGUUCUGUCAUAGAAUAAAAUUUCACUUUGCGAAACAUAAUUGAUUUUUAUUAGUUCACAAUAUAUGCUGGCUGGUGCUGAGCAGGUCUGACACCCACCGAUUUCCUGGUACUUCAUUUUGUCACAGAACCUAUAACAAUAUUCAGACAUUAAUAGUACAUUGACAAUGCUCUAUUUCCUACACACACACAGAGCACUUCCUACAAGAUUCAUUCUGGGCUGGAAAAGAGAAAGUUCACGUAGAGCAUACUGCAGCAACACACACUACUCUGGCUCACUAUUCAAAUGGUCUUUCACAGCCUCCCUGAGCUGUACAUCUCCACUUUGAGCUCUUAUAGCCCUUUUAUCUGGCUGCUCAUAGUGCCGAGAGUCACAAUCCUGCAUAGCAGGAGGUGAUUAAUAGCCCUCAGCACUUACACAAGAGCUGCCCCUGUGGAGGAUUUCUGACUCCAAAUUGCUACUGGUCAGUUGGGAAUCAAUCUAACAUAGCAGGUUUCCACAGUGCAAUCACCACUUGCUGCUUAACAGUCAGUGCAGAUCUCAUCUUGAUGUCCCUGCAUGGGAGGGCGGAGCAGGUUCAGCACAGAGAUCCAGGAAUGUGGCCUCGCACAUCUUAAAGUUCAGUAGCUACUACUCAGCAUCCCAAACCUGUGUUACAAGGCGAUCCCACCAGUCAGUGCUUGUUUCUUGCGCCCAGAACUAGUGCUUCACCAUCUCCAGCUGCUCUAAGAACACCAACAAGCUUGAAGUGUUUCUUUUUAUAGCCCACAGCAAUCUAGCCUCCAAGGAAUCACAUUUCCCAUAGCUCCUCUUGCAUCUCUACAAAUACUGCAGGACCAGGUGCCCUUCCUGUGCUCAUAACAGUAGUGCACAGCUGUACAGGUUCCAUGCUUCUGUCAGAGCUGAUAGCCAGUGAGGAGGGAUGUGUGGGUUUGUGGAGAUUUUGAAGAGAUGUGAACUAUUAUGGGAAGCAGAUGAAAUUAUGGGCUGGAGAAUAUUGCAUUACAGGCAAUUGAACCCAUGCUCCCAAUCACCCCUGUGCAGCUUAUUUUGGCCCCAUGAGGCAUUGCAAAUACUUCUCAAACCACUCUGCACUGAGUAGUGGUGAGUUACAGGAGGAUACCUACCCAUGGUGUACUGCACUCUGUAUCGCUACAAGCGAGGACACGGCCCUUGCCGACACAAGGAGAGUAGCAUAGAAUUGGCCUAGAUUCUUUUUGUGUGGCUCCCCUUUUUGAAGUUAAAUGCUACUGUGGUGGGAUACUUUGAUAUCAAACAUUGCCUCACUCCUGGUGGCUUCCAGGACUAUCAGCUUCCCCCCCCAGUAGUCAUAUGGUAAGCAGGCUCAGAGGUUACCUUAGAGCAUGCCUACCCAAUUGGGGCCUGCACAAAACAUAGGCACGGGUGGUGCCAGUGCACCCCCUCCCCAUAACACACAGUGCAUACUCAAGGUUGUAGAGCCCAUGCCUGGGCUGGGGAAGGGCCAUGUUCAGUUCCCUCCUCUACCUGAGGAGCAGGGAUGUGAAGCCAGCUGAGUACCCUAACCAUUGGGCUGUGGGGCAUUCUGGGGCAUGUCUCCCUCUCACCUCUUGAAGCUGUUCCACUUUGCAUAACAGACUGAACUAUUCACUGGGCCUGGGUGAGAGAAAAUCACUAAAGCUAGUGGUCAGGGCAUCACCUGGGAUGCAGGAGAGCGAGUUCAAGGCCAUGUUCUGCUGACUAUAAUAGGUAUAUAGUGGGGAAGAAAGAACUGCAACAGGAGAGACUGAGCCCUUCCACCAAAUGCACACCAGUGACAUGGAAGAUGGGAUCAAAUUCCAUUUGCUCUCAGGUCAAGGGGGAAUGGGAGCCUCAGUCACCCAUGUCCUGGGGAAGUGCUAGACCCCCACCACUAGUGGUAGAAGAGGCAAUGGGGACACUAGCACCUCCCCUUUUUUUUUUUGGCAAGAAAGAACUGCCCUGGCACAGGUCCCUGACUUCAGGAGCGCUCAUGGCUGAGAUUCCUGAGUGGAGAUAGGCACCUCUCCCAGCAGAGCCCAGUUCCCUUUGAGGGCAGAGCUUAGACCAAACACUUCACCUUGGCAUUACCUCAUGGCUGGCUCAGUGUGCUGCCCUCUGAGAGUCCCAGUCUUAGGUACCUGUUUCGCUCCAUGUCUUGUACAAGGAACCCGGGCAUCUGACUCAGGGCUGCAGAUUCCAUGAGGCAGCAGGGCACCUGCAGGGUAAGCGUUGCAAUGCUGAAACUAAGCCCCUUUGUGGCUCUAGCACAGGGUGGUAGCUGUGGCCCAGCUCCAUGUGCUGCUGGCUGGGGAUUAGCUCUGCCAGUCUGAUGCCCUUCCUGCGGGUGCUCACUAUGCCUGUCUUGGGACACACCAGAUCCCUCUUCAUGGCUUGGACCUUUGGGCAGGUCACUGUAAUCUUCCCCUCCCAAGGAGGUUUGUGUACCAAGGUCUCUGUACUAGGCAAUCUUCCAAUCCACUGCCCAUCAAUGGUGCCACUUCCUCAGUGGCUGGCAGGGGAACCUGAGCCCACCUUUUACGCCUGGUUCCAGCCCAGGGACCUUACAACCAGUGGCUAAGGUCUGCGCUGUCCCACACCUUGCUACUGUUGUCCUGGACUGCCUCCUACGUUGCCUCUAGCAAGCUCCUUCUCCACCUUCCUCUGGGUAUGCCUGCCCUCUGGGACAGCUCCAUGCUCUCCAUAACCUCAGAGGGAGUGACUGCAAACUCCUCUCCGUAGCCCCUUUCUGCCCUCUGCUACCUGGCUUUAUACCAGCCCAGUCCGAGUGAGCGUCAUCAUUUAAUUAGCUCUCAUUGUUCCCUGGCUCCUCCUCUAGAUGCAGCCCAAGUGCUUACUUGGCUUAUGUAGCUACCGUAACCCCUUCAGAGGCUGGUGUGGGGUAAACACCCCAUCACACCAGCCUUUCCUUUUGUUUGAGUAAAUUUAGUGUGGUUGAAAAGUGCUGGGGGAAUGGUCCUGCAGCCCAGCACUUCCUGCUCCAACAUUUUAAGUCCCUCUAGAACAUUACCAGAAACCAGGCUUAAGGUAAUGUGAUGUAAGCUCCCACCUCAGGCUUUAUGAGACCCCCUUCCAAGUUACAUAAAAGUGGAGCUGGUGUCUCGCAGAUGCUAGGGGAACUGUUACUACAGACCUGUGAGAGGGUGAAGGCACUGUACAUGAAACUCCUGGAGGCCCUGUCAACUUAAGGAACCUGACAACUGUUACAGCAUCCUGCCACUGGGCACCCUACAUGGUGUCAUAAAUAGCCCCUGUGGACAGCAGUUGUGACACCAUAUCAUCAGGUGCAUUAAGAUGAGUUGUUAAUAAUAUACCAUGAUGCCCAUGUACCUAGGGCCAGACACCUCUUUAUAGGAAACAGAUUCAAUUACAGAGUUCUGUAUCUUUUGUGCUUGUUUGCCAGAUGAUGCCGAGGCCUCUUGCUUGGGAAAAACGGUGGACAGACUCCCAAGCAUUUCCUGAACCAUGGCUCUAAUGAAUAGCUCCUUUAGCACCGUACCAUCACAGCUGAGGUUAGAUAAGACACUGGCUAAUAAGGCAGGAUGGUAAGCAUGGGAGGCCUUGGGCCUGGCCUUAUCUGUCUCCUUUUACAAAUGAAGUUUUUUCUGAUUUCUCCUUUUCUCAGUGGAACUGACUGCACAGCUGGCCUGGAGGGGCUGGUUACCCAUGUGGUGUGGGUAGAUUUACAGAAGGGCUGACUUGUAGCCUCCUUUGCUCCAGGGUUGUUUGUCCCUGCAGCAUAAACAACAGGUGCAAAGCCGAGUAUUUGCUCCUUCAGCCCCUGAGCACAGGCCUCUCACCUACCAAGCAGGGUUUGACCCUGUGGUGUGCAUGUCUGUCUGUGCUCUCUGGCUGCCAUGGUGUGACUGUGCCACAACCAGACCUGACAUGUUUGCUAGAUCAUCAUCCAUGGCUUGUCAACAUAGUAUGUGGCAGUAACAGCUGAGCCAUCCAACAAAAGGAUGCGUGGGACCCUAAGGGGCUGAAGUCCAGCUCUCCUUUCUGAUUGCAUGGCUGUUUCCUUUCAUGACUGGACAAGUACUGUUUUCUGAAUGGUGACUUGGGGAGGGGAAAAUUUUUUUAAAAUACAAAGCAGAACAGUUGGCAGGAGAGGGUUUUGGUGGGGGAACCCUACUCUGGACAGAAAGAGGGUGCCCCCCCCCCCCACUCCUGACUUGACUCCUGACUUGACUGGAGGGAGGACAGUGGGUAAGCCCAGUGGGAGGGUUCAUGGGGAGGCAGAGCCAAGACUACUUGUGGGGGAAAGAAUGGCUUGAGGUGCAGGUGGUGGUGGAGCCUGGAUCUGUGUCAGCUGAUGAAAAACAGCACUUCUGUAAAAAUACAGUGCUCAGGGCCAUGCUCCCAUGGCUGGGAAUGUACACACAGACAAGGCGCGCCACCCUGGCUGGAAAGUCAGGGGCUCUGGUCAGAACCAGCACAGCUAGAGUCAGAAACACAGCUCACUUCAAAGACACUUUAACUGAUCAGCCAUUUUCUGUUAGCUCAACAACUUCUAGUAUAAAUUCUUCAGACACAACACACCAUCCAGAUGACAGGCCAAGCCUGGGACAUACUGAAGUACACUGGCUUUUUAUUCCAUGCAUUUGUUUGCUUUGACACUCAUUCUUGUUCCCAUCACUGUACACUGUUCAGUACAGAAAUCAAGUUUGUAUCAGGAAGCCACAGCGCAAGGAUGAGACACCGGGAAGGGCUGAGAUGAAAUGGUCACUUUUAACACACAGUGGGAAAAACAACAUUAACCAUAAACGCCAGAAACCAGGCUGGUGUUGAGCUGUCAGAAGCCGUGCUGGGUGAGGAGUGGGCAGUGAGCCCACAACUCACCCUUCUCCUGGGAAGGAGAGUUUAUAGAGAAGAAAAGAAAAUGAAGUAGCCUGUCUACGCAGGGGGCUGUUCUCUGGGCAUUUCGAGCCUGCCCUUCCCCAGGCUGAACGGCACUGUUACUAGCGCUUCCGCCUGCAGCUCACCCUUUGUAAUCCCCUCAUGCAAACUCUGCACUCAAGCCAGACAGCAGCACCUUCUGCGCUCAGCUCCACCCGUGUAAAUCCACAGUAAGUAAACAUGCUUCGGUGAGGUUACACUGGGCUUACAGCUUUUGCCUCUCUAUCCCAUCUUCC